AUUGAACGCUGGCGGCAUGCCUUACACAUGCAAGUCGAACGGCAGCACGGGAGCUUGCUCCUGGUGGCGAGUGGCGAACGGGUGAGUAGUGCAUCGGAACGUGCCCUGAAGUGGGGGAUAACGUAGCGAAAGUUACGCUAAUACCGCAUAUUCUGUGAGCAGGAAAGCAGGGGACCGCAAGGCCUUGUGCUUUAGGAGCGGCCGAUGUCGGAUUAGCUAGUUGGUGAGGUAACGGCUUACCAAGGCGACGAUCUGUAGCGGGUCUGAGAGGAUGAUCCGCCACACUGGAACUGAGACACGGUCCAGACUCCUACGGGAGGCAGCAGUGGGGAAUUUUGGACAAUGGGCGCAAGCCUGAUCCAGCCAUGCCGCGUGAGUGAAGAAGGCC
rnacentral:rRNA from 1 species